GCUCGCAUAGCUCAGUUGGUAGAGCGCGUGACUAGUAAUCACGAGGUCUGUCGUUCAAAUCGGCAUGUGAGCA
rnacentral:tRNA from 10 species